AUAUUGCUAGGCACCACGCUGAGCACUUAAGGCUCAUAUCCUCACAACAGCCCUUCUGAGGCUAAAGAGGAAGAAACGGAGCUCUGAAAAGUUACACAAGCUCUCUGUAGCCAAGUUUUUGGAAAAUUCAUACUCACUGAAUCUUAAGCCUAAUUUAUACAAGUCCAAAAUCUCAAGGCUGGCAUAAGAGCUUGAGCCAUUGCUUAUAGCUACAAAACAUAGCAAGAAAUGGGCAGCUGCCAAAGAUGAUAGCCUCAUGGGUGCAGGGCACCUGCACAUGCAUCAUGUCACAGCUCCACCAUCCACCCCAGUUAAAUGACAGCCAGUGUAACGAAGUGUCUACCUUGGCACCAACAGCAGGCUUGUGCUCCACUAUUGAUUUGAGUCCAGUGCUUGUGGCAACUUCAUCUGAUACUUGAAGAUAUUAAUGAUAGUCUGCUUAAAGCCUCCUGUGUGCAUUCCUCGGUGGUCAAUGCAGAGGACCACACGGUACCUGAGGCCCUGGCCACAUGUCACUGUGCACUGGGAAGAGAUGGCAAGAGAAAGAGAAAGAGAGAGAGAAGACUCAUAGGCAAAGCCCGAUUAAUUUAUUUAACUUCCCACCCAAGGCAUGAUAUGAAACUGCCCGGCUCUGGAUGCCCCCCCCACACGAGGAGGAGCACGCGGUCCACGGGGUGGCCUCCCACCUACAGAAGCAAGGGGAGUCAUCAGGGCGGACGUGCAAAUUGCCAAACCUCCUUAGUGACCUGUCA